rnacentral:tRNA from 1 species
CAAUAGCUCAGCAGGAUAGAGCAACUGCCUUCUAAGCAGUAGGUCGUGGGUUCGAAUCCCUCUUG